UUUCGGCUACGGGGGGCAGCAGUGGGGAAUAUUGCACAAUGGGGGAAACCCUGAUGCAGCGACGCCGCGUGAAGGAUGAAGUAUUUCGGUAUGUAAACUUCUAUCAGCAGGGAAGAAAAUGACGGUACCUGACUAAGAAGCCCCGGCUAACUACGUGCCAGCAGCCGCGGCAAUACGUAGGGGGCAAGCGUUAUCCGGACUUACUGGGUGUAAAGGGAGCGUAGACGGUAUGGCAAGUCUGAUGUGAAAACCCGGGGCUCAACCCCGGGACUGCAUUGGAAACUGUCGGACUAGAGUGUCGGAGA
rnacentral:rRNA from 1 species